rnacentral:rRNA from 1 species
AGAGCGAACGCUGGCGGCAGGCCUAAUACAUGCAAGUCGAACGCACCUUCGGGUGAGUGGCGGACGGGUGAGUAACACGUGGGAACGUGCCUUUUGGUUCGGAAUAAUCCGGGGAAACCUGGCCUAAUACCGGAUGUGCCCUUCGGGGGAAAGAUUUAUCGCCAUUAGAGCGGCCCGCGUCUGAUUAGCUUGUUGGUGGGGUAAUGGCCCACCAAGGCUACGAUCAGUAGCUGGUCUGAGAGGAUGAUCAGCCACACUGGGACUGAGACACGGCCCAGACUCCUACGGGAGGCAGCAGUAGGGAAUCUUGCGCAAUGGGCGAAAGCCUGACGCAGCCAUGCCGCGUGAAUGAUGAAGGUCUUAGGAUUGUAAAAUUCUUCAGCGGGGAAGAUAAUGACUGUACCCGCAGAAGAAGCUCCGGCUAACUUCGUGCCAGCAGCCGC